GACUGGUCAGAGUGCAGUGGUAUUUACAACUAAUUGAUCACAAUCAGUUACAGAUUACUUUGUUCCUUUUCCAUUCCUACUGCUUCAACUUGACUAGCCUUUG
rnacentral:Y_RNA from 1 species